rnacentral:tRNA from 1 species
GCCUGGGUGGCUCAGUUGGUUGAGCAUCCGACUUCAACUCAGGUCAUAAUCUCAUGGCUUGUGAGUUCAAGCCCCGCAUCAGGCU